GGAAGUGUAGAUCAUUGGUAGAGCAUGUGCUUAGCAUGCACAGGGCCCUGGGUUCAAUACCCAGCACACACA
rnacentral:tRNA from 1 species